GUAAGAUAUAUUACCAAUUCAUCUAUUUUAAUAUGAUAUAUUAUACAUAAAUCUAAUGCAGUGUUAUAUAUUUUGGUUUUAGUUUUAUUCCUACAAAAAUUUUACGACACAUACUAUCAACGUAAUAUAAAAAAUUAGAUCCGUUAGAUCCAACGGAUGACUCAUAGUCAUUGAAGGGUACCUUGAAAAAUCCUUUAUUUAUU
rnacentral:lncRNA from 1 species